UACAGAGGUCUCAACCGUUGUUCGGAUUCAUUGGGCGUAAAGGGUGCGUAGGCGGUCGCGCAAGUCGGAUGUGAAAUCUCAGGGCUCCAACCCUGAAACUGCAUUCGAUACUGCGUGGCUAGAGUGCUGGAGGGGAGACUGGAAUUUACGGUGUAGCAGUGAAAUGCGUAGAUAUCGUAAGGAAGACCAGUGGCGAAGGCCGAGUCCUCUGGACAGCAACUGACGCUGAGGCACGAAGGCCAGGGGAGCAAACGGG
rnacentral:rRNA from 1 species